UGCAAUCGCCUAAUCAUCAACUCAGAUAAUCUGGAGGUGAUUGAGACCAUGCAGGAUGGAGGACAGUCAACGAGUGCAGCAGCGGCAAUUUUCGAUGACUGCUUCCACUACGCAUGUGAUUUUAUCGUGACUAGAUUCGAACAUUGUAAUAGAGAGGCAAAUAGAGUAGCACAUGAACUUGCUAAGUUAGCUAGAUUUUCUUCAACUUCAGAUUGGUUCGAGGAGCCUAUCAAUGAAAUUGUACUCUUCCUCACAAACGAUGUAUUGGUUAUUUCUAAUGAAUAA
rnacentral:rRNA from 1 species